rnacentral:rRNA from 1 species
UACGGGGGGGGCAAGCGUUGUUCGGAAUUACUGGGCGUAAAGGGUGCGUAGGUGGCGCGCUAAGUCAGGUGUGAAAUCUCGGGGCUUAACUCCGAAACUGCAUUUGAUACUGGCGUGCUUGAGGACUGGAGAGGAGACUGGAAUUUACGGUGUAGCAGUGAAAUGCGUAGAGAUCGUAAGGAAGACCAGUGGCGAAGGCGGGUCUCUGGACAGUUCCUGACACUGAGGCACGAAGGCCAGGGGAGCAAACGGG